GUGCCAGCCGCCGCGGUAAUACGUAGGGCGCAAGCGUUGUCCGGAAUUAUUGGGCGUAAAGAGCUUGUAGGUGGCUUGUCGCGUCUGCCGUGAAAACCCGAGGCUCAACCUCGGGCGUGCGGUGGGUACGGGCAGGCUAGAGUGUGGUAGGGGAGACUGGAACUCCUGGUGUAGCGGUGAAAUGCGCAGAUAUCAGGAAGAACACCGAUGGCGAAGGCAGGUCUCUGGGCCAUUACUGACACUGAGAAGCGAAAGCAUGGGGAGCGAACAGGAUUAGAUACCCGCGUAGUCC
rnacentral:rRNA from 1 species